UACGAGAGGGUGCGAGCGUUGUUCGGAAUUAUUGGGCGUAAAGCGCUGGUAGGUGGUUUGUUAAGUCGCGUGUGAAAUCUCCAGGCUCAACUUGGAAAGUGCGCGCGAAACUGGCGAACUUGAGUGCCGGAGAGGGUCGCGGAAUUCCCAGUGUAGAGGUGAAAUUCGUAGAUAUCAGGAGGAACACCAGUGCGAAGGCGGCUUCUGGACACCAACUGACGCUGAGACGCGAAAGCGUGGGUAGCAAACAGG
rnacentral:rRNA from 1 species